UACGUAGGGUGCAAGCGUUAAUCGGAAUUACUGGGCGUAAAGCGUGCGCAGGCGGCUUUGCAAGACAGAUGUGAAAUCCCCGGGCUCAACCUGGGAACUGCAUUUGUGACUGCAUCGCUGGAGUGCGGCAGAGGGGGAUGGAAUUCCGCGUGUAGCAGUGAAAUGCGUAGAUAUGCGGAGGAACACCGAUGGCGAAGGCAAUCCCCUGGGCCUGUACUGACGCUCAUGCACGAAAGCGUGGGGAGCAAACAGG
rnacentral:rRNA from 1 species